AGAAUCAGGUCCCAAAAGAGGAGUCAAGGAUGGAGUUGAUCAAAGAGGAUCUAGAUGGUCCUGAAGAUACAGAAAGCUUGGCCCCAAGUUGCAGUACCAGCCUUGGAUCAGGAUCAAUCUCAAGAUUGGAAUUCCUAGAGGCCAAGAUCGAAUGGCAAGAUAAAAUGAUAAAAGAUCUUGAAGGAGAGCGCAAUUUCUUACGCGAAUAAGUCUUGGGGUUGAAGAAGAAAUCAACUCAAUCAAAAGUCCCUACUUUGGAAGAGGAUGUCAGCAUGUCCGAAGAUGACACUUCCCAAAGUCCUGCAGACCUCAGUGAUUCCUCAGACAGUGAUGUUGUCAUCCCAAAAAAGAAGCAACGUAACACACGGAAUCCUGCAUCUCCAGAUGUGGCUGUGCCUGGGCGAGCUCAUAUGAGAGUCAAAGGGCCAGCGGAGGUUGUCCAUAGGUAUAAAAAGGUCCUGAAAACCUUCGGACAUGUUCGCACAAUGUCUGAAGCCUUCAGGAGAAAUAAUGUGGAUCGGGGAACCAUAAAGAUGACUGCUCCAAUUGCAGAGCUCAAGAUUGUGGACCCAGACACAUUCGAGACCCUCAAGUUUGAUCCUGCAAUAGACACCCUGCUUUCAUUUGCCAAGAAGUGUGCAACAAAUGUUACAGUCGAUAAAAAGGCCAAAAUAGAGGACAUGAAAGCCAAAGGCAAGCUUCUUCCCUUGCUGAUGAAGUAUUAAAGGGCUGGUUUUAUCGGUUUAGAUAAGGUGUACUG